rnacentral:rRNA from 1 species
AUUGAACGCUGGCGGCAUGCCUUACACAUGCAAGUCGAACGGCAGCGCGGGGGCAACCUGGCGGCGAGUGGCGAACGGGUGAGUAAAAAUAUCGGAACAUACCCUAGAGUGGGGGAUAACGUAGCGAAAGUUACGCUAAUACCGCAUACGCACUAAGGUGGAAAGUGGGGGAUCUUCGGACCUCAUGCUCAUGGAGUGGCCGAUAUCUGAUUAGCUAGUUGGUGAGGUAAAGGCUCACCAAGGCGACGAUCAGUAGCUGGUUUGAGAGAACGACCAGCCACACUGGAACUGAGACACGGUCCAGACUCCUACGGGAGGCAGCAGUGGGGAAUUUUGGACAAUGGGGGGCAACCCUGAUCCAGCAAUGCCGCGUGAGUGAAG